rnacentral:rRNA from 1 species
AUUGAACGCUGGCGGCAUGCCUUACACAUGCAAGUCGAACGGUAACAGGUCUUCGGAUGCUGACGAGUGGCGAACGGGUGAGUAAUACAUCGGAACGUGCCUAGUAGUGGGGGAUAACUACUCGAAAGAGUGGCUAAUACCGCAUGAGAUCUACGGAUGAAAGCAGGGGAUCGCAAGACCUUGUGCUACUAGAGCGGCCGAUGGCAGAUUAGGUAGUUGGUGGGAUAAAAGCUUACCAAGCCGACGAUCUGUAGCUGUCUGAGAGGACGAUCAGCCACAAGGGGACUGAGACACGGCCCAGACUCCUACGGGAGGCAGCAGUGGGGAAUUUUGGACAAUGGGCGAAAGCCUGAUCCAGCAAUGCCGCGUGCAGGAUGAAGGCCUUCGGGUUGUAAACUGCUUUUGUACGGAACGAAAAGCCCCGGGUUAAUACCCUGGGGUCAUGACGGUACCGUAAGAAUAAGCACCGGCUAACUACGUGCCAGCAGCCGCAGUAA